rnacentral:rRNA from 1 species
UGCAGUCGAGCGGUAGAGAGAUGCUUGCAUCUCUUGAGAGCGGCGGACGGGUGAGUAAUGCCUAGGAAUCUGCCUGGUAGUGGGGGAUAACGUCCGGAAACGGACGCUAAUACCGCAUACGUCCUACGGGAGAAAGCAGGGGACCUUCGGGCCUUGCGCUAUCAUAUGAGCCUAGGUCGGAUUAGCUAGUUGGUGAGGUAAAGGCUCACCAAGGCGACGAUCCGUAACUGGUCUGAGAGGAUGAUCAGUCACACUGGAACUGAGACACGGUCCAGACUCCUACGGGAGGCAGCAGUGGGGAAUAUUGGACAAUGGGCGAAAGCCUGAUCCAGCCAUGCCGCGUGUGUGAAGAAGGUCUUCGGAUUGUAAAGCACUUUAAGUUGGGAGGAAGGGUACUUACCUAAUACGUGAGUAUUUUGACGUUACCGACAGAAUAAGCACCGGCUAACUCUGUGCCAGCAGCCGCGGUAAUACAGAGGGUGCAAGCGUUAAUCGGAAUUACUGGGCGUAAAGCGCGCGUAGGUGGUUCGUUAAGUUGGAUGUGAAAUCCCCGGGCUCAACCUGGGAACUGCAUCCAAACUGGCGAGCUAGAGUAUGGUAGAGGGUGGUGGAAUUUCCUGUGUAGCGGUGAAAUGCGUAGAUAUAGGAAGGAACACCAGUGGCGAAAGCGACCACCUGGACUGAUACUGACACUGACGUGCGAAAGCGUGGGGAGCAAACAGGAUUAGAUACCCUGGGUAGUCCACGCCCGUAGACGAUGUCAACUAGCCG